rnacentral:rRNA from 1 species
GACGAACGCUGGCGGCGUGCUUAACACAUGCAAGUCGAACGAAGUGGCGAACGGGUGUGAAACAAGGGGGAAACCUGCCCUCCUUUUUGGGAUAAGCCUUGGAAACGGGGUCUAAUAACGAAUGAAGGGGGAUGGGCUCGCGGCGUAUCAGCUUGGUGGUGGUGUGAGGGCCUACCAAGGCGGUGACGGGUAGCCGGCCUGGGAGGGGGAACGGCGACAUUGGGACUGAUGUGCGGCCCAGAACCCUACGGGAGGCAGCAGUGGGGGAUAUUGCACAAUGGGCGAAAGCCGGGUGCAGCGACGCCGCGUGGGGGAUGAAUGCUUUCGGGUUGUAAACCUCUUGCGCUUCGAAUCGCUUCUGUGUCUCCGAAGCGCCGGCUAACUACGUGCCAGCAGCCGCGGUAAUUC